rnacentral:rRNA from 1 species
AACGCGAAGAACCUUACCUGGGCUCGAAAUGUAGUGGAAGUCAGCAGAAACGUUGGCGCCCGCAAGGGCCGCUAUAUAGGUGCUGCAUGGCUGUCGUCAGCUCGUGUCGUGAGAUGUUGGGUUAAGUCCCGCAACGAGCGCAACCCUCAUCUUUAGUUGCCAUGCCGCAAGGCGGCACUCUAAAGAAACUGUCGGCCACAAGCCGAAGGAAGGUGGGGAUGACGUCAAGUCCUCACGGCCUUUAUGUCCAGGGCUACACACGUGCUACAAUGGGCGGCACAAAGCGUCGCAAACCCGCGAGGGGGAGCCAAUCGCAAAAAGCCGCUCUCAGUUCGGAUUGCAGUCUGCAACUCGACUGCAUGAAGCUGGAAUCGCUAGUAAUCGCGGAUCAGCACGCCGCGGUGAAUACGUUCCCGGGCCUUGUACACACCGCUCGUC